AGGUCAAGUAGAAAAGGGCGCAUGGUGAAUGCCUUGGCACUAGAAGCCGAUGAAGGACGUGACGAACCACGAAAGGCUUCGGGGAGCAGUAAGUAAGCAAUGAUCCGGAGAUAUCCGAAUGGGGGAACCCAAUACCGCGAGGUAUUAUCAUUAACUGUUAAGGUUAAUGAAGGAAGACGCAGUGAACUGAAACAUCUAAGUAGCUGCAGGAAGAGAAAGAAAAAUCGAUUUCCCAAGUAGCGGCGAGCGAACAGGAAAGAGCCCAAACCAGCUGGCUUGCCAGUUGGGGUUGUAGGACUGCGAUAUAGUACUUGAAGUGAUAGCAGAAUUAUCUGGAAAGAUAAGCCAGAGAGGGUGAGAGCCCCGUACGCGAAAUUGCGGAGAGACUUAGCAGGAUCCUGAGUAGGUCGGGACACGAGGAAUCCCGAUUGAAACCGCGAGGACCAUCUCGCAAGGCUAAAUACUAACUAGUGACCGAUAGUGAACCAGUACCGUGAGGGAAAGGUGAAAAGAACCCCGGAAGGGGAGUGAAAGAGAACCUGAAACCGUGUGCCUACAAGUAGUCAGAGCACAUUAAAGUGUAAUGGCGUGCCUUUUGUAGAAUGAACCGGCGAGUUACGUUAUGGUGCAAGGUUAAGUCAGAAAAGACGGAGCCGGAGCGAAAGCGAGUCUGAAUAGGGCGAAAGAGUAUCAUGACGUAGACCCGAAACCAAGUGACCUACCCAUGACCAGGUUGAAGGCGUGGUAAAACACGCUGGAGGACCGAACCCACGUGAGUUAAAAAUCGCGGGGAUGAGUUGUGGGUAGCGGUGAAAUUCCAAACGAACUUGGAGAUAGCUGGUUCUCUCCGAAAUAGCUUUAGGGCUAGCCUCGUGUGAAUGAUAAUGGAGGUAGAGCGCUGUUUGGACUAGGGGCCCGUCAGGGGUUACUGAAUCCAGAUAAACUCCGAAUGCCAGAUAUCAAUGCACGGGAGUCAGACUGCGAGUGAUAAGAUCCGUAGUCGAAAGGGAAACAGCCCAGAUCACCAGUUAAGGUCCCCAAAUCUAUGCUAAGUGGAAAAGGAUGUGGAGUUGCGUAGACAACUAGGAUGUUGGCUUAGAAGCAGCCACCAUUUAAAGAGUGCGUAAUAGCUCACUAGUCGAGUGACGCUGCGCCGAAAAUGUACCGGGGCUAAGCAUAGUACCGAAACUGUGGAUGCAUAUAUUAUAUGUGUGGUAGGAGAGCGUUCUAAGUGCGGCGAAGUUAGAUCGAGAGGACUAAUGGAGCGCUUAGAAGUGAGAAUGCCGGUAUGAGUAGCGAAAGAUAGGUGAGAAUCCUAUCCGCCGAAAGACUAAGGUUUCCUGGGGCAGGCUCGUCCGCCCAGGGUAAGUCGGGACCUAAGGUAAGGCCGAGAGGCGUAGCCGAUGGACAACAGGUAGAAAUUCCUGUACUGAAAUUGUUCGAUAUGAGCAAAGGAGGGACGCAGGAGGCUAAUGACGCAUGUUGCUGGAAAUACAUGUGCAAGCAGUAAGAAAAAAGAUGAGUCAAAUGCUUGUCUUUAGAUUUCAAGCUGUGAUGCGGAGCGAAAUAAAAGUAGCGAAGGUCAUGAUGUCACACUGCCAAGAAAAGCUUCUAGCCAGAACAAUUUUACCCGUACCGCAAACCGACACAGGUAGUCGAGUGGAGAACACUCAGGUGAGCGAGAGAACUCUCGUUAAGGAACUCGGCAAAAUGACCCCGUAACUUCGGGAGAAGGGGUGCUGAUAGUAAAAUAUCAGCCGCAGUGAAUAGGCCCAAACAACUGUUUAUCAAAAACACAGGUAUCUGCAAAAUCGUAAGAUGACGUAUAGGUGCUGACACCUGCCCGGUGCUGGAAGGUUAAGAGGAGAGCUUAGCGCAAGCGAAGGUUUGAAUUGAAGCCCCAGUAAACGGCGGCCGUAACUAUAACGGUCCUAAGGUAGCGAAAUUCCUUGUCGGGUAAGUUCCGACCUGCACGAAAGGUGUAAUGAUUUGGGCACUGUCUCAACGAGAGACUCGGUGAAA
rnacentral:rRNA from 1 species